rnacentral:rRNA from 1 species
UACGAAGGGGGCUAGCGUUGCUCGGAAUCACUGGGCGUAAAGGGUGCGUAGGCGGGUCUUUAAGUCAGGGGUGAAAUCCUGGAGCUCAACUCCAGAACUGCCUUUGAUACUGAAGAUCUUGAGUUCGGGAGAGGUGAGUGAACUGCGAGUGUAGAGGUGAAAUUCGUAGAUAUUCGCAAGAACACCAGUGGCGAAGGCGGCUCACUGGCCCGAUACUGACGCUGAGGCAUGAAAGCGUGGGGAGCAAACAGG